CAGUAGCCACGGUAAUACGUAGGGUGCAAGCGUUGUCCGGAAUUAUUGGGCGUAAAGAGCUCGUAGGCGGUUUGUCGCGUCUGCUGUGAAAUCCCGAGGCUCAACCUCGGGCUUGCAGUGGGUACGGGCAGACUAGAGUGCGGUAGGGGAGAUUGGAAUUCCUGGUGUAGCGGUGGAAUGCGCAGAUAUCAGAAGGAACACCGAUGGCGAAGGCAGAUCUCUGGGCCGUAACUGACGCUGAGGAGCGAAAGCGUGGGGAGCGAACAGGAUUAGAUACCCCCGUAGUCCCUGUCUCUUAUAC
rnacentral:rRNA from 1 species